CUACUUACCUGACAGGGGAGAUACCAUGAUCAUGAAAGUGGUUUUCCCAGGGCGAGGCUUACCCAUUGCACUUCAGAUGUGCUGUCCCCAGCAAUUUCCCCUUAAUGCCGAAAACUACUGCAUAAUUUGUGUAGUGGGGGGAUGGCAUUUGCCCUCUCCCC
rnacentral:snRNA from 1 species